GUGAGGAAUAUUGGUCAAUGGGCGAAAGCCUGAACCAGCCAUGUCGCGUGAAGGAUGAAGGUCCUAUGGAUUGUAAACUUCUUUUGCAGGAGGGUAAAGUGAGCUACGUGUAGUUCAUUGCAAGUACCCUGCGAAUAAGCAUCGGCUAACUCCGUGCCAGCAGCCGCGGUAAUACGGAGGAUGCGAGCGUUAUCCGGAUUUAUUGGGUUUAAAGGGUGCGUAGGCGGACUAAUUAGUCAGCGGUGAAAUGUUGCGGAUCAACCGUAAAGCUGCCGUUGAAACUGUUAGUCUUGAGUGCAGUAGAGGUAGGCGGAAUGUGUGGUGUAGCGGUGAAAUGCUUAGAUAUCACACAGAACACCGAUUGCGUAGGCAGCUUACUGGAGCGCAACUGACGCUGAGUCACGAAAGCGUGGGGAUCGAACAGGAUUAGAUACCCGAGUAGUCC
rnacentral:rRNA from 1 species